UUGCUCCCUGAUGUUACGGCGGACGGGUGAGUACACGUGGGUACCUGCCUGUAAGACUGGGAUAACUCCGGGAAACCGGGGCUAAUACCGGAUGGUUGUUUGAACCGCAUGGUUCAAACAUAAAAGGUGGCUUCGGCUACCACUUACAGAUGGACCCGCGGCGCAUUAGCUAGUUGGUGAGGUAACGGCUCACCAAGGCAACGAUGCGUAGCCGACCUGAGAGGGUGAUCGGCCACACUGGGACUGAGACACGGCCCAGACUCCUACGGGAGGCAGCAGUAGGGAAUCUUCCGCAAUGGACGAAAGUCUGACGGAGCAACGCCGCGUGAGUGAUGAAGGUUUUCGGAUCGUAAAGCUCUGUUGUUAGGGAAGAACAAGUACCGUUCGAAUAGGGCGGUACCUUGACGGUACCUAACCAGAAAGCCACGGCUAACUACGUGCCAGCAGCCGCGGUAAUACGUAAGUGGCAAGCGUUU
rnacentral:rRNA from 1 species